rnacentral:rRNA from 1 species
UACGUAGGGUGCAAGCGUUGUCCGGAAUUAUUGGGCGUAAAGGGCUCGUAGGCGGUUUGUCACGUCGGGAGUGAAAACUCGGGGCUUAACCCCGAGCCUGCUUCCGAUACGGGCAGACUAGAGGUAUGCAGGGGAGAACGGAAUUCCUGGUGUAGCGGUGAAAUGCGCAGAUAUCAGGAGGAACACCGGUGGCGAAGGCGGUUCUCUGGGCAUUACCUGACGCUGAGGAGCGAAAGCGUGGGGAGCAAACAGG